CAGUCGCCGCGGUAAUACGAAGGGUGCAAGCGUUACUCGGAAUUACUGGGCGUAAAGCGUGCGUAGGCGGUGAGUUAAGUCUGCUGUGAAAUCCCCGGGCUCAACCUGGGAAUGGCAGUGGAUACUGGCUCGCUAGAGUGUGUCAGAGGACGGUGGAAUUCCCGGUGUAGCGGUGAAAUGCGUAGAGAUCGGGAGGAACAUCAGUGGCGAAGGCGGCCAUCUGGGACAACACUGACGCUGAGGCACGAAAGCGUGGGGAGCAAACAGGAUUAGAUACCCCCGUAGUCCCUGUCUCUUAUAC
rnacentral:rRNA from 1 species